rfam:Wickerhamomyces ciferrii, NRRL Y-1031 F-60-10, WGS project CAIF01000000 data, contig: 00246
GACUCCGUGGCCAAGUUGGUUAAGGCGUGCGACUGUUAAAACAAUUAGCAGGUUAUCGCAAGAUCGUCAGUUCAAUCCUGACCGGGGUCG